AAUAGGCUCGAAAGACCGCCAAAAUAAAUUAUAAAGUCGUAGUAAACAUUGAUCGGAAAGUUUGUCGCAUAAAAAGUGGUUUUCGGUAAAUUAGGGAAAAUCGUGGAGUUUAGGGGCCUGGGACGCCAUGGACCGGAUAAACCGCCAUUUUCAGUGCUUUGUUGCAGCUUGUGGAAGCAUCUCAUGAUGCCAGGCAGGCAUUAGUGUAAUAAUAAGUUCAAAAGUCCGUGUCCCAUCCGGAGAAGUCAUUGGCCGCUACCUCGCGCUCCAGGGGGUACUUGUCGAAGUGUCUGGUAUCCACGGGACCAUUCAACUGGAAUUUCGAUGAUGCCUCUGCAGUUCCCUCGCGCUGUUCCUGUAAAACUUCUGGAGGAAAAAAUAUGCCAGUGACGUUGGAACAGCAGCAACGAGGAACCACGGCGAUAUGAUGACGUUGACGAUCAUCGCGGAGCCACAGAGUAGAACGAAAAAAGUUAAUUUCUGAAAUGCUGUCGGUAGCUUCUUGUCGAUGACUCCCACAUCGGCGCUGAAUCUGUUCAGAAUUCUCCCGAUGGGAGUUUGCUCGAAGAAAUUCAUUGGCGCUCGGAGAAGUGAAUUUAUCGCCUCUUGGUGAAGCCUCUUUCGAGCUAUGGCACCUGCCCACUGACCAGCUGCACUGUUGAACGCCGAGAGGACGAUCGACCCGAUCGAGAGGAUAAUGUACAUCCUGAAGUAGAAGACUGUCUGGAGUGAAAUAUUGGGAACAGCAUGGGAAGUGCCAUCGGAAAGUUGGCCUCGGUCUUCAGAGAUAUGUGACGAUAUCCCGCUUGCAAUCCAUCAAGAGGUAAGAUUCUUUGACCCAAGAGUUUUCCACUCUCAUCGUAGACCCCUACCAUAGAAUUAAACAUUAAAAUCAUUUCCUUGAUUUAUCUUUUUUUUAAUUUUCUCCAUCACUUUUCAAGAUAGAAAAACAAUUUUUUGCUCAAUUAUUUUAUCGACAUUUUUU